GGGGCUGUAGCUCAGCGGGAGAGCACCACACUCGCAUUGUGGGGGUCGAGGGUUCAAAUCCCUUCAGCUCCA
rnacentral:tRNA from 1 species